CUGGGAGGAGUUCUAUUCAGGACACCUUUUUAGAAAUUAAAAUUCCCAAAGUUCACAGGCUAGGAGUUACAGGCGCCCACCCGUUAGUACGGCCUUGGGCUUCAAGAGCAAAGCGCGGAAGGAGAGUGGAAAGGAAAGUGCCUACAACUCCCAGAGCGCCACGCGGGAGGCGUCCCGGCGCUGCCCGCUGCAGUCGCCGAGCGGCGCCGCGCUUUCUGUGAGGCCCGCCUGUCGCUUGCCGGUCCUACCCGCGCUCGCCGCCCUCGCGCCCGCCCCGCAGCCGGCGCGUCCAGCCGGCGCCUCGGUCUCGCCCUCCGCGAAGGCGGCCCGAUCUGCCCUUCACAGCCGCCUCUGUCCACUAAGGUCACCGAGGGGCCCGAGGCGCCACCGGCCCUUCUCGGAGGCCCUCGCUACUCCCGCUCCAUUCCCCCAAAUGCUCUGGACUCCCGGGAUGCUCUGGAGACAGGACAGACGCGGUCCCUGCUACCACGAAAGUCCCUGCUUGCAGACUGUUGGAAUUGAGAAUCUCGAAGCAGAGAAGAAGAAGAACUACAACACGCGAUCAAUGCUAUGAAAGAAACAUGGUCCCGUAGAGAGAAAAGCCGAUUUUAGGUGGGCCAACUUAGGCCCUUUGGUCUCCACCACGCCUCCCACUCGUGUCUUGGUGCGGGGACGUGAGCAUAAUCGCACAUUUCAGGGUCUUUGAAGGUAUAUGGGGGGCAACACCCCCGCCGCCCCCGACGGGAUCCCUGCGCAGGACCUGGCAUUUCCCUGCCUGGACGCUGCCGUAAAGUCAGGAGAGACUAAAUGGAAACCACGGAUUCCUAGAUGCGGCUCCCGCGAACCUUUGGGCUAUUUGGGGGGAACCUUUGCAGUGUUUGAACUUAUAGUCCCUCUCCUGCUUUCCACAGACAACGUUGCCAGACACUUUAGGGGGCUCCAUAAGUAUUCGAGCACCUCUUAAUAUGUCAAAAUGUCCAGAUUCAGAGACAGGAAGAAGCACAGCGCUCCCAGCAUCCAACUCUGGCGGAGCUCAGCAAGCCUGGGCAGGGGGUUGGCAGGUGUAGAAAGCACUUUUACCGCUGAGGAUUCAUCAGUAUUUCCUUCCAGCUCACAUUCGGCGAUAGAUUUAAAUGCUUGAAAUCCUCUCACAGCCCCUCAUCACCUAUACGAUGAAAUUCAAGCUCCUUAGCACAAUCGGGAAGCCCCUUUGUGGCUUGGAGGUUGUCUAACUGACCAGGUUCAACUGCCUCUCCUUGCCUGGAACUUGCCAGGCUCGCGAAUUCAGAACAUUUGUAGGUCCCUAGUUGUUUCAUGUUUUCCCUAAAAUUCUUUGUCUCCCAGCCAACAAUCCUUUGUCCGUCUACCCCGCCCCCCACCCCGCCAACUAUCCUUUAGACUUGAGUCUGGUCCCUCAGAACUAUCUGCUCUUCUCGAGGGUUUCUGGGGAUUCUAGAACAGCUGGGAUUGAAGCAUGGCUCCCCAUUCUGGAUCUGGAGCUGCUUCUAUAACCUGCUUCUCACAGCUUCCUUGUUGGCCAAGCAGUGGUGAUAUUAGUACCUCUCCUCACACAACUGCUAUGGACAUGAUAUUGGAUGAUACGGGUAUGGAACUUAUCCAGAUAAAUGUUAGAUAAGGUAACAAGAACGGCUGAUGGCUAUGUGUGCCAAGCCCUGUUCAAAGUGUUAUGUGUUCCAAGUGUCACAUGUUAAGUGAUUUAACUCUUCUCAUCUUCACAACAGCCUUGUGAAAGUGUUAUCAGCAUUCUCAUUGUGCAAAUGAGGGAACCGCCCAAGUGACUUUCCAAGGUCACCCUACCGGGUCAAGAAUGGUGCCAGGAAUUGAACCCAAGCUGUCUGAUUGCAGAGAUCACACCAUGCUCUGGUGCCUCUCAGGAAAAGCUCUGGAAACGCUACCUUCGUCAACGAGGACAGGUCCCAGGCCAGUGUCUAAAGCACAGAGGAAAUGUUAAGUGUUCCAAUAGCUGUGGACCUAGCACGAUCUUCCCAUCUCCCUGGCUCUUGCGCUUAACUUCUAGCAGGCCAUCUGCUUCCAUUCUGCUGACUUGAGCUGAGAUCCUGCCCUCACCUGCAGAAUGUUGCCUCUUGAUCACUGAUAGUGCACAGACAUCUUCGGGAAGGUUCACAGGGAGGCUGGUUCACUCGGCUCGUAGUAACUGAGCACCCAGUUACUGAGGGUACGUCCUGAAUGGUGGGAAUUGAAAUUCCUGUGGCCUCCCGCGCAGUGGAGCCUCCUGAAGAGACCCCUGAACUGCUAACAGACAACCAGCCGGUGGGAAAGGUGGGGCCUCGCUGGUGCUCAAAAAUAAGGGCACUUCUCGUGCACCCUUUUCACUCAUUCAUUCUUAGAGCCGACAAGUAUUGAGUGCACAUUCAGUGCCAGGUACGCUCAGGCACCAGAGACAGCAUUUAGUAAGGACCUGAAUGAAGAGAAACAGUGUGCACAUGUAGACCUAGCGACAGAAUGUUCUGCACAAGAGAAGAGGUGUGAAGGCUCUGGAGUGUGAGCAAGCUUGAUGUGUUCCAGAAAUGAGAUGAGGAUACCUGGAGCAUGAACCGUGAUUCCUGCUCGCUCGAGCAGGAAUUGAGAGCCACACCCUCAGGGGUGCUACUGUCACACCGCUGCUGUCACCACCACGGCCGGAGGGGCCACGAGAAUCCUGGGCUGGGAUGGCUCCUCCCUCCCUCCUGUCUUCUGAAGCCCUGCUGGUGCCUCCUGGAGGCAGGGUCACCUGACCAGGGCAUCUGGGAAACGAGGUUUGCAGGCUCCCGGUCCUGGCUGCAAAGAAGAGCCUAAAAAGGCAAGCGCAGGACGGGAGCCACAGACGCCAUUCCCACACCAGCCACUGCACGCCUCUGUACGAGGAGGGAAACAAGUAUGUGUUCAACAAAUUACUGCACGGAAGCUUCAUAGCACGUAGUAGGCAUGCGGGAAAGGCAAACAGAAACACCUUUAGGAUAAUAUAUUAUACUAAACACCUUUAUAUAAACACCUUUAGUAUAAUAGUUUAACGUGAAGGUCUGAACUUCUGAUGUGAGGCAUCAAAAAUGAGCAUUUUUAAAAUAGAAUUUUAAAUCCGAAUGGGUGAUGUAUUCCCCCAUCGAAUUCAAAUUGCAAAGCAACAUGCGGCGAAAAUAAGUUUCUCGUAUCCUGUCUUCUCAUUGCCUCGUCCUUGACUCCUCCUAAAGCUAUCGCUGGUCCCUUUCUUCUGUGUCUACAGAUCGUCCAGACCGGGGCAAGGGUAUGCGUCUAUUCAAAACAACUGUUUUCUUUGACCCACAGGGUGCGUGCCACGCACACAGCUCCGGGACUCGCGUUUCUCUCUCCACCGAAUCUUGGAGGUCGCUCUCAGCACACACCACUCUGUUUUACCAGAACCAUGAUUUUCCUAGCCAGCCUCCCGUAGUCUUUUACCGUUUCCGAGAGGGCUGAGGUGCGUACGCUUGCACAACUUCCUAGUGCCCGUGCGCGUGUCUUCCUGUGGGAUCAUUUCCGAAAGGGAACUUGCUGGGUCAAAGGCUGUGGGCGCUUGUCACUGUGAUAAAUACGGCCCGACCGCCCUCCGCUCCCACCAGCGGGGGCUGUUUUCCCGAAGCGUCACCGGCACCCUCUUCACGUCGCCCCCAUGGAGGCCCCAGACGUGGAGGGACAGAGAUAAGCCCUCCCUGCUGUGCCCUGUCUGGAUUCCUGACCCACAGACUGCAUGAGCAGGAUCGAAUGGCUGCUGCGCUAUGCCUCCGUGAAGUGGCUGGUUACGCGGCCGUAGGCAGCUGGAACAGCCCCUUCCUAAACUCCUUUUGGCACAGCUCUCCACUUGGUGAGACAAAAGUGGGCCUACCUGUGCUCCCUGCUGCAAAAGCGCAGUCGUUAGCCCGACUGCAGCUGGCCAGUGUCCUUCCAGGAUGUUCCUGGGGAGCCUCCGUCAUCCCACCCAUCGGCAGGCCACCUCGGAUGCAGAAAAGGCCCCGGUGUGUGUGCAGAAACCACACUCUUCGGGAACCCCCGGCACAUGCCGUUCACGCCCGUUAAGAUAAAACAGUUGCCACAGCUUCACACAGCGAGUCUGGGAAAGGCACAGAUCGCUCCUGAUUUAUCUUCUUGGUGGAGACUGAUAGCGGUCAGCAUGAGCGGCCUGAAAACACAGGCUCCUUGUUCAUAUGCCUGGACCUGCAAAUGGACUGGGCUGCCUGGAUUCCUCACAGAGAGGGUCCCAGAGACACUCCGUGAGAUGCCCAAGCCCGUGAAGUGGGGGACCUGGGUUUGCGUCCUGACUCCGGCACCUAGAGGGGACUUAACUGUUCGCUCAUUCGACAAACAUUCCUACGCUCCAAAGACUGUGCAGCAGCGGGGGGUGGGGGGGGGGGGCUGGCAAUGCACAAGGUGGGUGCAGUCCUGCUCUUUGGGAGCUUGUAUUUCAGUGGCAAGAGUUGGUCAACAAGCAAGGACGCAAGGAAGAAAACUCCAAGUAGUGGUGCAGGAUCAGAAUAAGAUGGGGAAAAUGAGGUGAAGGGUGCCCAGGGAGGCACCAUUAGAUGGCGAGGUCAGGAAGGGCAGCAUCCACCUUUCCUCCUGCCUAGAAUAUGGCUGUGAUGCCUGCAGGUAUGGGAGCCAUUUUGUGACCAGGAAGCAACAAUCAGGAGGGCAAAAGUCAACAUAGAAAGGGGAUGUAGACGACGAAAAGAGCCUGGGCCUUCAGUAACCUCACAGCACCACCGCACAAGCCCCGGACCUUCCUCCUCCAGACUUUCGAGUACAUAAGACAAAGGAAGUGCCCCUGUGAGUUGGGUUUUCCGAACAGCUGAACACAUGUCUAAUGACAACAGAUCUAAAUGACAAGAUUAAAUUAUGGUAAUGUGCGGAGGAAGAAGAUUUCAGGUAGAGGGGACAGAAGUACAAAGGCCCCGAGGCAAGGACAGACUCGAAGGAUCUGAAGAACUGAAACAAGGUCAGUGCGGCUGAAGUGGGAGGAACGUGAGGGACACGGGGGGGAGCAGGGGCUGCUUCGGGUCCCUCGGAUGGUACCCUUCAUGCAGCGGGAGGGCAGUGGAGUGUUUGGAGCAGGACAGAGGCGUGAUCUGACUGAGGUCUUAGAAAGAUCUUUCUGGCUGGGAGACCAUAUGGUCAGGCAAGGGAUGCUGGGGUCUGGCCUAGGCUGGCUGUAGUGGAGAUGGGAUCUGGGGGCCAUGUGUAUACACACACACACACACACACACACACACACACCACAUGGGGCCCUCUUCCACCCAGACAGACUCCAGUUUGAAUCCCGACCCUGCCACUCGUCAGCUGUGGGAUUCUGGGACAGGUGACCGAAACACUCCGAACCCACUAGUUCGGAGUCUUACCGCCCCUUUUGUGGCCUAGGUUCUGUCCUGCCCUCCUAAGCUGCCUUCCUACCCACAGCCUUCACCUUGCAAUCCUUCCUCCACACUGCAGCCGCCAAGAUUCCUUUAAAAUAAAUAUGAACAUGGCUGGGGCGCCUGGGUGGCUCAGUUGGUGAAGCCUCUGACUUCGGGCUCAGGUCCUGAUCUCAUGG